rnacentral:rRNA from 1 species
UCAGGAUGAACGCUGGCGGCGUGCUUAACACAUGCAAGUCGAACGAAGCAUUUAAGACAGAUUACUUCGGUUUGAAGUCUUUUAUGACUGAGUGGCGGACGGGUGAGUAACGCGUGGGUAACCUGCCUUAUACAGGGGGAUAACAGUUGGAAACGACUGCUAAUACCGCAUAAGCGCACGGUAUCGCAUGAUACAGUGUGAAAAACUCCGGUGGUAUAAGAUGGACCCGCGUCUGAUUAGCUAGUUGGUGAGGUAACGGCCCACCAAGGCGACGAUCAGUAGCCGGCCUGAGAGGGUGAACGGCCACAUUGGGACUGAGACACGGCCCAAACUCCUACGGGAGGCAGCAGUGGGGAAUAUUGCACAAUGGGGGAAACCCUGAUGCAGCGACGCCGCGUGAGUGAUGAAGUAUUUCGGUAUGUAAAACUCUAUCAGCAGGGAAGAUAAUGACGGUACCUGACUAAGAAGCACCGGCUAAAUACGUG